UAUUUUGAUUUUUAAAUUUUAAUUUAUAAUAUUUUUUGUUUUAAUUUUUUGAAUUAUUACAAUCACAUUCCACGAACCAAUUUAGUUGGCUAGAUGUUGAUUAAUUAUUGAUGUAAAAGUAAUGUAGAAGUACUAUGAUUGAUGAUGAUAUAAUAACAAUUAAGAUGCUAUAUUAUUUCUACAUCAAUAAUUUGUCAUCUUUAGCCAACUAAAUUGGAUUUUCAGAUUUGAUUGCACUAGAUCAGGAACUUCAAGUAAAAAAUUAUAGUAAAUUAAACUUUCAGUACAAAAGU
rnacentral:lncRNA from 1 species